AGUGAACGCUGGCGGUAGGCCUAACACAUGCAAGUCGAACGGCAGCACAGUAAGAGCUUGCUCUUACGGGUGGCGAGUGGCGGACGGGUGAGGAAUACAUCGGAAUCUACUUUUUCGUGGGGGAUAACGUAGGGAAACUUACGCUAAUACCGCAUAUGACCUACGGGUGAAAGCAGGGGAUCUUCGGACCUUGCGCGAUUGAAUGAGCCGAUGUCGGAUUAGUUAGUUGGCGGGGUAAAGGCCCACCAAGGCGACGAUCCGUAGCCGGUCUGGGAGGAGGAUCGGCCACACUGGAACUGAAACACGGUCCAGACUCCUACGGGAGGCAGCAGUGGGGAAUAUUGGACAAUGGGCGCAAGCCUGAUCCAGCCAUACCGCGUGGGUGAAGAAGGCCUUCGGUUUGUAAAGCCCUUUUGUUGGGAAAGAAAAGCAGCAGGUUAAUACCCCGCUGGUCUGACGGUACCCAAAGAAUAAGCACCGGCUAACUUCGUG
rnacentral:rRNA from 1 species